GAUGAACGCUGGCGGCGUGCCUAAUACAUGCAAGUCGAGCGAACAGACGAGGAGCUUGCUCCUCUGACGUUAGCGGCGGACGGGUGAGUAACACGUGGAUAACCUACCUAUAAGACUGGGAUAACUUCGGGAAACCGGAGCUAAUACCGGAUAAUAUCUUGAACCGCAUGGUUCAAUAGUGAAAGACGGUUUUGCUGUCACUUCUCGAUGGAUCCCCGCCGCAUUAGCUAGUUGGUAAGGUAACGGCUUACCAAGGCAACGAUGCGUAGCCGACCUGAUAGGGUGAUCGGCCACGCUGGAACUGAGACACGGUCCAGACUCCUACGGGAGGCAGCUGUAGGGAAUCUUCCGCAAUGGGCGAAAGCCUGACGGAGCAACGCCGCGUGAGUGAUGAAGGUCUUCGGAUCGUAAAACUCUGUUAUUAGGGAAGAACAAAUGUGUAAGUAACUAUGCACGUCUUGACGGUACCUAAUCAGAAAGCCACGGCUAACUACGUG
rnacentral:rRNA from 1 species